GACGAGGGGUCCAAGCGUUGUUCGGAAUCAUUGGGCGUAAAGCGGGUGUAGGUGGAUCUAUAAGUCAGGAGUGAAAGCCCCGAGCUUAACUUGGGAAGUGCUUUUGAUACUGUAGAUCUUGAAUGUGGGAGAGGAUCGUGGAAUUCCAGGUGUAGUGGUGAAAUUCGUAGAUAUUCGGAAGAACACCAGUGGCGAAGGCGACUCACUGGACAUCUGUUGACGCUGAGGUGCGAAAGCGUGGGGAGCAAACAGG
rnacentral:rRNA from 1 species